AACCAUAGAAACCUGCGGAGUACCUGCGGAAGGAUCAUUACCGAGUGCGGGUCCUCGUGGCCCAACCUCCCACCCGUGACUAUUGUACCUUGUUGCUUCGGCGGGCCCGUGCCCGCCGGAGACCCCAACAUGAACCCUGUUCUGAAAGCUUGCAGUCUGAGUGUGAUUCUUUGCAAUCAGUUAAAACUUUCAACAAUGGAUCU
rnacentral:misc_RNA from 1 species